rnacentral:lncRNA from 1 species
UUCUGCUAGUCUGUUGGUUUCUACCUUGUAUAUUUAGUACCUCUGGUACUCACAGUUAUUAAUACAAAUUAUAAUUUUGCUGAUAAAAAAAAAAGAUAAUACAAGAGAGAGAGAAGGGCAGUGGCAGUCACAACAUAUAUAUAGAGAAGGGCAGCAGAUAAAAUUACAAAAACAUUCAACACUAACAAUGAACAAGUUCU